GCCACUGUGGCGCAAUGGUUAGCGCGUCGCUUUCCUAUCCGAGUUGUAACUUAGGACGUUGCAGAAUUGAGGCGAAGGUUGCGAGUUCGAAUCUCGUCUGUGGUU